rnacentral:rRNA from 1 species
GAGGAAAAGAAACCAACAGGGAUUGCCUUAGUAGCGGCGAGUGAAGCGGCAAAAGCUCAAAUUUGAAAUCUGGCACCUUCGGUGUCCGAGUUGUAAUUUGAAGAUUGUAACCUUGGGGUUGGCUCUUGUCUAUGUUUCUUGGAACAGGACGUCACAGAGGGUGAGAAUCCCGUGCGAUGAGAUGCCCAAUCCUAUGUAAGGUGCUUUCGAAGAGUCGAGUUGUUUGGGAAUGCAGCUCUAAGUGGGUGGUAAAUUCCAUCUAAAGCUAAAUAUUGGCGAGAGACCGAUAGCGAACAAGUACAGUGAUGGAAAGAUGAAAAGAACUUUGAAAAGAGAGUGAAAAAGUACGUGAAAUUGUUGAAAGGGAAGGGUUUGAGAUCAGACUCGAUAUUUUGUGAGCCUUGCCUUCGUGGCGGGGUGACCCGCAGCUUAUCGGGCCAGCAUCGGUUUGGGCGGUAGGAUAAUGGCGUAGGAAUGUGACUUUGCUUCGGUGAAGUGUUAUAGCCUGCGUUGAUGCUGCCUGCCUAGACCGAGGACUGCGAUUUUAUCAAGGAUGCUGGCAUAAUGAUCC